UGUGUCGAAGUCUUGAUCCCCCUUUCACUGGAACCUGGGCAGCUAAGGCCUUGUCAAGGAUCGAUGCGGGGCCCCCGUUGAGACCGCUUCAGGUGAUUGACACAAAGGUAUGAUGUUGGAUCUACACCAGCUGCGCUCUUCAUGACUUCUUGGACUCCCCUGUGAAAGUGUCCAUCACUAUCGCUAACAACACCUUUGACAAGUAGCUGCGUUUCAUCUCCAGAAUCAUCCAGUCCAUGUUUGAACACCCAGGGCUACAAUGUGAAUGCUGUUGGCAAGCUUCAUUGAUGGCCAUGGUGAGCUUCUCUACAUCAACAAUCCGAUGACCGACAGCUGAACCAUCAGUGGAUGUCAACAUUUUUGCCAGUGGUACAGAGUCUUCUGAUGUCUUUGGCCUGAGAAUCAUGGUUGUAGAAGAGCGACUGACAGGUUGAUCAUGCUUGUGAAGAAAGUUGCCACGCUCAUCACGGGACAUUGUGCGGUCCAAGUCCUCUCUUGUUAGACGUACAUAUUUGGUCUUGAGAAUACUGUUGGAAUUACCAGCUUCCCACUUCAGCCCCUUAUUCCAUGCUCUA